AUUGAACGCUGGCGGCAGGCCUAACACAUGCAAGUCGAGCGAGCGGCGGACGGGUGAGUAAUGUCUGGGAAACUGCCUGAUGGAGGGGGAUAACUACUGGAAACGGUAGCUAAUACCGCAUACCAUCAGAUGUGCCCAGAUGGGAUUAGCUAGUAGGUGGGGUAACGGCUCACCUAGGCGACGAUGCCUAGCUGGUCUGAGAGGAUGACCAGCCACACUGGGACUGAGAAACGGUCCAGACUCCUACGGGAGGCAGCAGUGGGGAAUAUUGGGCAAUGGGCGCAAGCCUGAGGGAGCCAUGCCGCGUGAGUGAAGAAGGCCUUCGGAUUGUAAAGCACUGUCAGCGGGGAAGCGUUACCCACAGAAGAAGCACCGGCUAACUCCGUGCCAGCAGCCGCGGUAAUUC
rnacentral:rRNA from 1 species